AAAAAGGGCUUCUGUCUGAGUGACACACAUAGGGCAACACGCUUGCUCUACAUGAGGAAACGACAUAAAGAGAUUUCUAAAGCAUAAUUUUUGUUGUGUGGGCAGCUGCUGGUGAUCAUUGGUCCCGGUGCCCUA
rfam:Erinaceus europaeus unplaced genomic scaffold scaffold00524, whole genome shotgun sequence